rnacentral:rRNA from 1 species
AUUGAACGCUGGCGGCAGGCCUAAAACAUGCAAGUCGAACGAGUGGCGGACGGGUGAGUAAUGUCUGGGAAACUGCCCGAUGGAGGGGGAUAACUACUGGAAACGGUAGCUAAUACCGCAUACCAUCGGAUGUGCCCAGAUGGGAUUAGCUAGUAGGUGGGGUAACGGCGCACCUAGGCGACGAUCCCUAGCUGGUCUGAGAGGAUGACCAGCCCAACUGGAACUGGGACACUGUCCAGGCUCCUACGGGAGGCAGCAUCGGGGAAUAUUGCACAAUGGGCGCAAGCCUGAUGCAGCCCUGCCGCGUGUAUGAAGAAGGCCUUCAGGUUGUAAAGUACUUUCAGCGAGGAGGCGUUACUCGCAGAAGAAGCACCGGCUAACUCCGUGCCAGCAGCCGCGGUAAUAC